rnacentral:rRNA from 1 species
GGCGAACGGGUGAGUAACACGUGAGCAACGUGCCCAAGACUCUGGAAUAACUUCGGGAAACCGGAGCUAAUACUGGAUACGAGACGUAAAGGCAUCUUUAGCGUCUGGAAAGAAUUUCGGUCUUGGAUCGGCUCACGGCCUAUCAGCUUGUUGGUGAGGUAAUGGCUCACCAAGGCGACGACGGGUAGCCGGCCUGAGAGGGUGACCGGCCACACUGGGACUGAGAUACGGCCCAG